rfam:Salmo salar isolate Sally breed double haploid chromosome ssa26, whole genome shotgun sequence.
UGCAUUCACUACUGUAAGUCGCUCUGGAUAAGAGAGUCUGCUAAAAUGACUAAAA